rnacentral:tRNA from 2 species
GGGCCAUUAGCUCAGUUGGUUUAGAGCGCUGCCUUGACAGGGCAGAGGUCACUGGUUCGAAUCCAGUAUGGCUCACAA